rnacentral:lncRNA from 1 species
GGAACUCAUAUGAAAUAUAUCACAAAAAUUUACAAAGGUUACAAGAUGAUCUUACAACUACUACAUGGCCUCCUUUAUAUAGGACUAGGAGGUUAUUACAAGACAAACUUAUAUUAUAAAAUAAACCUAUCUUACAUGGUAAACCUAUCUACAAGUGGGUCUCUUUUUACAUGUGAAGGACCUUAGGCAAAACAACUAAAAAAACUCCUGAAAGCAUGUGAAAGAGGUGAAAUAUACAUGGUAUAGCAUGUAAAAGUAUGUAGGAGCAUGUGAAAGCAUAUGAAAGUAGGGUGCUGCAUGUGACGAAGCAUGUGGAGGCAUGUGGAUGUCACGCCCCAAACUUGGGGAGGCGUGGCUGGCACCCGGUGCCGCAUUAGCCUGAGCGAACCACUCUGUAACUCAUGAUCAUUUGACCAAAACUAGAAUAUACAUAGGUCGAGUUGGCUGAACUUAUUCCUUUUGUAACUAUCAUGGGCCAACAUGGCCACAACUCAUAAUGUACAACUGUAAGUGGGCGAACACUAUAUCAAUAAACUAUCGUUCUUAAAAUAUGAAUACAUAUGAGUCGUCAAGGCCUCUGACAUAUUGUACAAAAUGAACCUCUAUAUACAAAGCCUUUAAGAUUAUGCGACAUCAAAUAGAAUAGGGUACCAGCCUACCCAUAGUCUAUAGCAAAACUUUGACACUACGACUCAUAGACUUGGCUGCACUCCGAAUGAGAUGGAGUCUUACCGAUCCUUCGCUGAAUGCCAAUCUCGUCUACUAUGAGGGCUCGUCAAACUAUUUAUCUAUACCUACAGGCAUGAAUGCAGCUUUCCCAACAAAAAGAUGUCAGUAGGAAUAAUGUACUGAGUAUGUAAGGAAGAACUGAAACAUAACAAUAAGUCAAUAUUUCUUUAAAAGCAUAUAAGAAUCAACCCGAAUCUCUAAAAUGCCACCAUAUAUACAUAUUUAUCAUAUUUAUAUAUAUAAUGCUUCUCUUGACUGUUUCUAUUAUCCAUAUCGUAUGAUGCAUGACUGCCCAACUGAUUAGUGGUACCUGCCCGACCGGCCGUAGCGCGGUGGUAAAUGCAUGACUGCCCGACCGGCCGUAGCUCGGUGGUAAAUAUGUAACUGCCCAACCGGCCGUAGCUCGGUGGUAAAUGUAUAACUGCCCAACUGGCCGUAGCUCGGUGGUAAAUGAAUAUGCAUGUCUGCCCAACCGGCGAUAAAUAAUGAUACAUAACUACCCAACCGGCAGUAACUGCCCGACCGGCCGUAGCAUGGUGAUGAAUGCAUGAAGAUGCAUGUACAUGUAUCACUAUAUUAUAAACAUUAAUAUCUUUAUCAUAUACCUUACACAACUUCAUUCAACAUUUUAAUCAUAUUUAUUUCAUAACAUUAAUUCUAUUACUUAUUACACGUCAUUAUAACAUUAAUUCUAUUACUUAUUACACGUCAUUAUCUACUAUCACUAUUAAUCAAAAUCAAUUAUCUAAAACUACACCAAAAAACACCUAAUUCUAUUAAUAACCUACUGCCUUAACACAUUAUAAUUAUACUAUAUUGAACUAUAUACACAAUCAUAUAUCUUUUAUGUUAGUAACCCAAAAGUUGUCAAGAUAGCCACUGUUAACAGUGCAAUUAUCAGUCUAUGACAAUAUGUGGUAAUUGUCUUACAUUAAGUUGAAUGAGUUUCAUCAUAGUAUUUAUACAAUCAUACAUAUCACAACGUCAAACUACCUAUACAACUAAAUAAAAAUGCAUUGUAAACCUUUAUUAUGCAUGAAUCAUUACUUCAAAAUCAAUCUACAACAAUCUAAUGAUAUAUUAUAUUCAAAUUGAUAUUUUAUAACAUUUGGUGUUGUAACAAUGUAUAUUAUAUUAUAAUUUAUUAUGCUAUAGGUCAUAAUCAAUUUUCAAGUGUAACUUGUCACAAACAACCGCAAACUAUAAUAUUAAUAUGUUUCUACAAUCAAUUAUUGAUUAUAAUAUGACUACUGUGCUAUUAAAUAUCAUGUAAUGACAUAAUAGUUUAAGUCUAAUAUUACAAAUAAUCACGUUGGUUAGACUAUAUAAACUAUAUUUAUAAACAAAUCCCAACAAAUAUAUUUAUAACACAAGUUCUCUAUCAUAUACCUCAAUAGGGACUAGGGAUAUGUGUAGACAUGCUUGAAUAUCACUUUAUCGGAAUGAAUAAUAUAGGCAUCCUUAACUGCUAAGAGCAGAAUCACUUAUGGAAUAACAUUACGUUUACGUAUCGUUACUUGGAUCAUGUCAAAAGAAGGAAGGGAUAACCUUAAUAUACCUUAAUUGCUCGUAUGAGCUCGUAGAAGAUUAUUGUCUACGAACCUAGAUCAACUUCUUUAAAGCUUCCCGGCACCUUACUUCAUUACAAAGUAAUAUUCGGCUUGCUAAGAUUCAGAGGACAUCGACGUGAUAACCAUGACAUCGAUAUAGGAAGAUUACAAUAUUUGAUCUUGGAAGGAGGAGGAAAACGUGAACUAAAUUAAUGUAAGUUGAUAUAGAGAUGAAGACAAGAACAUUAUUACAUAUGGGUCUUGUAUAAGGCAGAAACUUUUCCUUUCUAAAGGCCUUAGCUAUUAAUUCUCA